rfam:Arabis alpina cultivar Pajares chromosome 2, whole genome shotgun sequence.
ACACUAUGAUGAACAAAAACUUGUGUCCUAGGCUUGUUGUUCAUCGUUGACGGUAUGACACAACCCUUUAAGAAGUUUUGAGCUU